rnacentral:rRNA from 1 species
CCCCUGAGGGAAAGUUGAAAAGAACUUUGAAGAGAGAGUUCAAUAGUACGUGAAACCGUCCAGAGGUAAACGAAUGAAGCCGAACAGUCGGCGUCCAGAUCAGCCCGGCGGGCGUUCGCCGCGCGUUUCGCUUGCACCUCAGUCCACUGAGGCGGCGAGGCGCGUAGGUGAGCGGUCGUCGGGCGUAUUCUGCGCGUCGAGCGUCGUAACCGGCGCGAUGGUGGAGAUGCCGGCGUGAACGGAAGUGAACGUGCCAACUUUGGUGCGAUCAUGGAGGCUCGUCGCGCGCUCGUACCGUCGUGCUGAGGCUGCUGUGCCCGACCCGCCGUGUGCGCGGACGGCGUGGAUUCUGCGGUGAACUGGCGUGUCCGAUGCUUUGCAUUGGGCGGGCUUUUUUGUCGCUUUUUUCGUGUCGUCUGCGUGGGUCGGUAUAGUUGACGGCGUAUAUCGGUCACUCAUUCGACCCGUCUUGAAACACGGACCAAGAAGUCUAACAUGUACGCGAGUCACUGGGUCUACCGAAACCCAAAGGCGCAAUGAAAGUAAACGUAGGUGAGAUCGGCGACUAUGUUGCCGCGCAUCACCGGCUCGUUCCACUUCUUCGUGAAUGGGGCGAAGCAUGAGCGUACAUGUUGGGACCCGAAAGAUGGUGAACUAUGGCUGGCGAGGACGAAGCCAGAGGAAACUCUGGUGGAGGUCCGUAGCGAUUCUGACGUGCAAAUCGAUCGUCAAAGCCGGCUAUAGGGGCGAAAGACUAAUCGAACCAUCUAGUAGCUGGUU